UACGAAGGGGGCUAGCGUUGUUCGGAAUCACUGGGCGUAAAGCGCACGUAGGCGGAUCAGUAAGUCAGGGGUGAAAUCCCGGGGCUCAACCUCGGAACUGCCUUUGAUACUGCUGGUCUCGAGUCCGGGAGAGGUGAGUGGAAUUCCUAGUGUAGAGGUGAAAUUCGUAGAUAUUAGGAAGAACACCAGUGGCGAAGGCGGCUCACUGGCCCGGUACUGACGCUGAGGUGCGAAAGCGUGGGGAGCAAACAGG
rnacentral:rRNA from 1 species